rnacentral:ncRNA from 1 species
CGCGCACGUCCGGGAGACUCUGAUCCCACGGACAGGGCCGAAGGAGCAACCGCCCCGGUAAACUCUCAGGCAAACGGACCUGACGUGCAAA